AAGCAAUGACAGAGACAACUGAAAGGAGGGGUAAAUUCAAGAGAAAUCUUGGCACCACAUGAGAUCACGUGACUUUUAGUUCCUGUUCAGCCCUGAUGCUCAGUGAGUGGAUGUGAGGAAAUGGAAGGGAGACCGUCAAAGACAAGGUUCCCUAGGGGAUAUGAUUUGGUUUUGAGCCAUUCUUCUAAGAGGAUCAAGAUCAACAACCCCAGAACCACAACAGGAUAACACUACCUGGGAGGUGAGCGAAGCAGACAUCUCAGUGUGUUCUGUGUCAGAAUUAGACUUCGCCCCAGACAGCUCCGAUCCCCUUCGUGUGCAACUAUUCC